UAAUACGAAGGGGGCUAGCGUUGUUCGGAAUUACUGGGCGUAAAGCGCGCGUAGGCGGCUUGGCAAGUCGAUGGUGAAAGCCCGGAGCUCAACUCCGGAAUGGCCAUUGAAACUGCUUGGCUUCGAGUACGGGAGAGGUGAGUGGAAUUCCCAGUGUAGAGGUGAAAUUCGUAGAUAUUGGGAAGAACACCGGUGGCGAAGGCGGCUCACUGGCCCGUUUCUGACGCUCAGGCGCGACAGCGUGGGGAUCAAACAGGAUUAGAUACCCUGGUAGUCCACGCCGUAAACGAUGGAUGCCAGCCGUUGGCAAGCAUGCUUGUCAGUGGCGCAGCUAACGCAUUAAGCAUCCCGCCUGGGGAGUACGGCCGCAAGGUUG
rnacentral:rRNA from 1 species